UACAGAGGGGGGCAAGCGUUGUUCGGAAUUACUGGGCAUAAAGGGCGCGUAGGCGGCCUGUUAAGUCGAACGUGAAAUCCCCGGGCUCAACCCGGGAACUGCGUCCGAAACUGGCAGGCUCGAAUUCGGGAGAGGGAUGCGGAAUUCCAGGUGUAGCGGUGAAAUGCGUAGAUAUCUGGAGGAAUACCGGUGGCGAAGGCGGCUGACCUGGUCCUACAUUGACGCUGAGAUACGAAAGCGUUGGGGAGCAAACAGG
rnacentral:rRNA from 1 species